UACGUAGGGUGCGAGCGUUAAUCGGAAUUACUGGGCGUAAAGCGUGCGCAGGCGGUUUUGUAAGACAGAUGUGAAAGCCCCGGGCUUAACCUGGGAAUGGCAUUUGGGACUGCAAGGCUUGAGUGUGGCAGAGGAGACUGGAAUUCCUGGUGUAGCAGUGAAAUGCGUAGAUAUCAGGAAGAACACCGAUGGCGAAGGCAGUGGGCUGGGCCUGUACUGACGCUCAUGCACGAAAGCGUGGGGAGCAAACAGG
rnacentral:rRNA from 1 species